rnacentral:lncRNA from 1 species
UAAUUGUUUAUGCUAGUAUUUAAUUUAUUAAUUUCCGUAGUCCCAUUGAAUUUCACAACUAUGAAACCAUUAUCAUGUAGAAAGUUGAAAUUGCUGAAGAGUUAUUUAAGGCCUACAAUGUUUCAAGAGAAGUUAAAGAGUUUGACAAAUUUACGCAUUGAGACGAAAAUUGGCAAAUGAGAUUGAUACUCAUACCACUGUCAACAACUUUGCAUCAAGCAAUGUUAGAAGAAAGUUUAAGGAUGUAUAACUUUUUUUUGAUAUAAAUGUAACUUUUGGUUAAUUGUUUGUAUUUGUUGGUGAAAUUUAAUAUACACUUUCAUUAAUCGUUAUUAUUGUAUGAUUUUGUAUAUUAAGGGCCUCAAGUUAUAUUUUCGCACCGGAUCCCCAAAAUCUCAGGACCGGGCCUGCCAUUUGUCAGUUGCCUGUGCUCAGAGAGAAGAUGAAACGGAGGGAGCAGGAAAGAUGACUCUCGGAUGGUGCACCUCGUCAACAGAAUUCACACCGAGAUGACCACCUGGCAAAAAAAAGGACCACCGAAUAACACAUUGUUCCCCGCCGUGCCCAAUUUCCCUGCAGAAGUGCGGGACUGCAGGCUGUCAUUGACCUUUCAACUAUGAAACAUACGGACUCUCAAAAGAAACCGCAACAUACCGUGUCAUCUAGGUGCAGGACAUUAUUCAAAGAUGAGCUCAAUCAAUUUUGUUUCCCAGAGAGCCAAAAGGAAGUCAUAUCCUCAUUUGAGACAUGUAUUGACUCCUUCAUGUAAUUAGUUCCUUUGUACAUAUAUCUCUAAUCUACUGUUUUUCCCUAAAAGAAAAGUUCCAAUCAUGGGCCGAACACUAAAAACGACAGGAAGCGAAGAAAAAAGAACAAAGAAGAAUUAGGCCCACGAGAAAACUGAUUCCUGUGAGUAGAGCCGGCCAACUAGGCUUCCGGGCCGUCGAUAACUGUUCGAGGGAGAUUUAACCAGGAAAAAAAUCAUCUCGGCCCACGAGGCCACGAACGCCGCCUUGGACUUGCUCACUUGUGCUCGUAGUUCGUUCGUUCGUAGCCGCCGAUCAAACCAGAAAAAAAAAAUCAAACCAGCGUAGCAUGGCUGACUGUACGUGUACGUACUAGCUUUUCUUGCUUAUUCCUGUAAUUGUUUUAUUACUUAUGUCCAUCGUAAAGUAACUGUAUUUUAAAGGUUUUUCCAUUGCUAAGUCAAAUGAGAUAGAAACGGUCUUCGCAAAAAAAAAAAAGAGAUAUAAACGGGAGAAACGGAGUAGCAUACUGCCACAGACACCUCUAUUUGUGCUUGCCAAAUGGUACUAGUUUCCGCAAGGGCCGCGUGCGAUUCGUGCUACAAGCAAACAGGAAAGCACCAAGUGGACAUCAAGACGAAGACCUCACGAGUCGACCAAUAGUACUGGUAUUAUUUUUUCCAACUGGAUCUCUCCUCUUUCCAUUAUCGAAAUAACAAAAAUACAAAGUUUUUUUUACCCAGAACGACGAGGAAAACAGGAGGC